UCGGGAAUUUUGGGCAAUGGGGGAAACCCUGACCCAGCAACGCCGCGUGAAGGAUGAAGUAUUUCGGUAUGUAAACUUCGAAAGAAUGGGAAGAAUCAAUGACGGUACCAUUUAUAAGGUCCGGCUAACUACGUGCCAGCAGCCGCGGUAAUACGUAGGGACCAAGCGUUGUUCGGAUUUACUGGGCGUAAAGGGCGCGUAGGCGGCAUGACAAGUCACUUGUGAAAUCUCUGGGCUUAACCCAGAACGGUCAAGUGAUACUGUCGCGCUAGAGUGCGGAAGGGGCAAUCGGAAUUCUCGGUGUAGCGGUGAAAUGCGUAGAUAUCGAGAGGAACACCUGAGGUGAAGACGGGUUGCUGGGCCGACACUGACGCUGAGUGCGCGAAAGCCAGGGGAGCAAACGG
rnacentral:rRNA from 1 species